rnacentral:rRNA from 1 species
GUGAGGAAUCUUGCGCAAUGGGCGAAAGCCUGACGCAGCGACGCCGCGUGGAGGAUGAAGGUCUUCGGAUCGUAAACUCCUGUCGAGCGGGACGAAUCCGGAAGGGUGAACAAUCCUUCCGGUUGACGGUACCGCUGGAGGAAGCCCCGGCUAACUCCGUGCCAGCAGCCGCGGUAAUACGGAGGGGGCCAGCGUUGUUCGGAAUCAUUGGGCGUAAAGGGCGCGUAGGCGGCUGCGCAAGUCGGAUGUGAAAUACCUCGGCUCAACCGGGGAACUGCAUCCGAAACUGCGCGGCUCGAGUCCUGGAGAGGGUAGUGGAAUUCCCAGUGUAGCGGUGAAAUGCGUAGAUACUGGGAGGAACACCGGUGGCGAAGGCGGCUACCUGGACAGGUACUGACGCUGAGGCGCGAAAGCCAGGGGAGCAAACAGGAUUAGAAACCCGAGUAGUCC